rnacentral:RNase_P_RNA from 1 species
AGCAGACCGAGCGGCCGCGGGUAUAAGGCGAAAGCCUGUAUCUGAGGAAAGUCCGGGCUCCGCAGGGCAAGGAUAACGGGUAACGCCCGCCAGGGGAAACCCUCGGACAAGUGCAACAGAAAUAUACCGCCGGAUCCUUCCGGUAAGGGUGGAAAAGUGAGGUAAGAGCUCACUCGUCGCAUGGAAACAUGUAGUCGCUGUAAACUCUAUCCGGAGCAACACCGUGGAUGAACAUUGAGAUCGGCCCGAUCGUUCAGAGGAGGUGGCUAGAGCCUGAUGGCAACAUCAGGACCAGAUAGAUGGCCGCAAAGACAGAACCCGGCUUACAGAUCUGCUUU